GAUGAAGAACGUAGCGAAAUGCGAUAAGUAAUGUGAAUUGCAGAAUUCAGUGAAUCAUCGAAUCUUUGAACGCACAUUGCGCCCUUUGGUAUUCCGAAGGGCAUGCCUGUUCGAGCGUCAUUAUCACCCCUCAAGCCCUCGGCUUGGUGUUGGACGGUUUGGUGGAGGCCCCCUCGGGGGCUCCUGCCCCUCCCAAAGACAAUGACGGCGGCCUCGUUGGACCCCCGGUACACUGAGUUCUUCACGGGACACGUAUCGGACACAUGGGUUUACGGGACACGGUCUGCCUCCCCUCAGGGAGAAUCUUUCUAAGGUUGACCUCGGAUCAGGUAGGGAUACCCGCUGAACUUAAGCAUAUCAAUAAGCGGAGGA
rnacentral:misc_RNA from 1 species